rnacentral:rRNA from 1 species
GAUAAACGCUGGCGGCGUGCCUAAUACAUGCAAGUCGAGCGAACGGACAACGGAUCUUCGGAACUGUUGGAAGUGAGCGGCGAACGGGUGAGUAACACGUAGGUAACCUGCCCUUGAGAUUGGGAUAACAGUUGGAAACGACUGCUAAUACCGAAUAGGAACAGCUGAGGCAUCUCGGCAGUUUAAAAGGAGCUUUCGGGCUUCACUUAAGGAUGGACCUGCGGCGCAUUAGCUAGUUGGUGGGGUAAUGGCCCACCAAGGCAACGAUGCGUAGCCGACCUGAGAGGGUGAUCGGCCACACUGGGACUGAGACACGGCCCAGACUCCUACGGGAGGCAGCAGCAGGGUUUGAUCAUGGCUCAGUAACAGCCGCCGCAGUAACAC